rnacentral:snRNA from 1 species
AAGUUACCACAGGGAUAA